rnacentral:lncRNA from 10 species
UGGUCGCCUUUCUCUCCUUAUGACUGUCUUUUUGGUAAACUCAAAAAGUGAGCAGGGGCCAUACAGUUAAAUUCAAAACAGGAAGUCAUAUGAUGUUCCUUUAUACUCCUACCUUUCAUGAUUGACUUGGCUCCCUCUGCUGGUUAGUAAUAUAAUUCCUUUCUUAGUUCAAUAGGGUAUGUGUUAACAUUGGUGAAAUAUCUGGGGUGAAUAAGCUUGGAGUUAGAGCUUCUUAUAUGUUGAUUCUCUAGCAAAUUUUGUGUUUAGCUAAGGUUUUAACCAACCUAGGCCUUACUUAUCUAUAAUGGAAAGGGACUUGGUAUCACAUGCCUGAAAAACAAAAUUUUUAUUAAUGCCGUCUUAAAUAGACUUGCCAACAUUACAAUACUGAAAUCUACAAAUAGCAAAUAAAGUGAAAGAGUAAUGAAAUAUUUAAAUUGUAUUAAAAUAUUUCAGUAUAAUAUAAUCCUUAACUUAUUUGCUUUCUGGUUAGAUACUUUUCAUUCUACUCAUGCAAUAUAAUGCCUCCUUUUUAAAUUCUAUACACAAUUUCUUCCUUCUUAAGUUUCCCCCUUUUAAAUCCUAUACACAAGUGUAAGUACAUUUAUUUAAAUAUAUAGAAUGAGUUGGAUGGCAAAUGAGAGUUACCUAUUUAAGAACUUAUUUACUUUGGCUAGAGAGAAAACACUUAUUGAAAGUUUAUUUUUCGGAGGGAGAAAGAAGUUUCCACCAUUUUCAGGGAGUAAUUUGUUCCUAUGAUAAUUACUCUGUGAAAGAUAGAAAUUUGCUUUGGUCUGACUUAUUAAUAAACACUUGUUUUAAGAUUGAAGGGAAGGUGGGAAGAAAUAGAAACAAACAUAUAUUCUGCCCCAUGUUUAUUAUUGUGCUGUAUCGGACAUUUUAGAUUGGAAAAUGUGCUACAACAGAUCAGUAAUAGUCACAGAUCUACACACAACAAAUGUAGGUCCACUAGGAAAAUAAUUCCUCCUCACAACUUUAACCGUAUUUGACAUUUCUACUAACAACAUAACUUUAUUUCCUACCCUUUGCCUUAAGAUUACCUUUCUGAAACCAGUAUCAGAUCUCUAAAAUAGCCUGGUACUUCCUCUAAAAUCCUUCACUAGUUCAUAGGCAGUCAGAUCUUUCUAACAUUCCUUUUUUCCCCAUUUUCUAAGGAAAAUCUGAACUGUAGAUUUUUAAAAACAAAAACAAACACUUUUUUUGGCCUGUAACCCACAAUAAGGAAUAUGUUUUACAAGGUAAUCUAACACAUAUACACAUGAACAAAUGUUUACUUAAAAACACAUACCCUUACCAUCUGUGAUGUACGCUUUUAUUUUCUAUUCUUUUCUCUAUUUUAAAUAAAAAAUGCUAGUCAUAAUGCAAUAAAUUAAUGUGGUCCUUUAUGUAAGGCCUUCUAGCCUCAGAAACACACACCUUUUGAAUUAGCGUGCCUGGUACCCAUUUGUGCCCAAUAAAUACUUGCUGAAUGAACUUUUCCAAUAGUGCUGGAUUUGCUCUGAGCCAACCAAAUUCUCACUUUUAAUGUAUUUUGAAAGACAGAGGACGACAAGAUGAAGAAUGCAGUUUGAGACUCAGAAGAGCAAACAUAAUCGGCCCAGUAUGGAUAUGAUCAUUUGAUGCACUGUCCUCGGGCAUGCUCAUUUACAGAAGCCUAAAAACAAAUUUUAUCCCUCAUUUGUGGGUUUCUGGUGUUGUGGAGGGCUUUCCAAUGUUUAGAAGCAAUAUAUUUUUAUAGAAUUCUGUAAUAAACGUGUUUUAAAUCUUUUAUAAAGCUCUCUGUAGCAUAUAAGUACAUAUUAAAGACAGAAAUGGGGGAGCAUCAAGGCCCUUAUAAUCGCAUUCAUUCCUUAACCACAUACUACGCAUCUACUGUGUGGCAUUCUAGGCGGGGGCCGUAACACCAGUGCAGAAAAACACAACCUCUUGUCCUCUUAGAGCUUACAUUGCACUGGGGAAGGAGAGAUAAGAAGAUAAACAAGUAUGGAUAUGUAGACUGUCCAAAGGAUAAAAUGAGAAGGGGGCUAGGGAACUUUCAGUUUAAAAGUAGCCGCGGAAGCACCGAGUGACACGAGCAAAAUCCUGAAGGUGAAGGAGCAAGCCCUGUGGACGACGCUCAGGGAAGAGUCCUACUCGCAAGGAUGCCAGGGCAGGCCCGCCCCCACCCUCAACGGCGCGCGGGGACUUCUGCCGCAGUCAAGGCUUUGGCUCACUCCCCUCAAGACGGGAAGCCAUUCGCAGGGCCUAGAGAAAAGGAGUGACAGGAUCUUGGCCCCCUGAGUGGCCUGAGGCAAAAGGAAUAAUCUAAGCAAGUUUUCCUACUUACUUUUAGCGCACUGGUACACACACAAAUACACAAUACAAUUCAUAUAACACGAAUUUCGUCCCGGUUGAGUAAAAUUCCGCUUACCUACUGCACUUUUUACCGAAAAUAGCCCCUUUUUAAUUUACACAAACUUAAUAGAGAAC